AUUCGUCUGAAUUAAAUUCGUCGUUUGAAACGAAACCAUUUUAAACUCGACCAAUACUAGAUUCCCCUUAUUACGUUUUCGUAGCGCUUCGCAUUGUGGUUAUAGUGGUAUCACUGAUAUUCAAGAUGGCUUAUUUUUUGUCCUGACCCAUGCAAGAACUUUUAAAAAAGCUAGGGUCACGUGCGCGAUAGCCAACAGCAAAGUAUUCGCAAAAACAUUCAGCAUUUUCAUUCGAGGCCGCUAUCUUUAUCAGUGAUACUACUAUAACCACAAUGCAAAGCGCUACGAAAACGUAAUAAGGGGAAUCCCGAAUUGAUAGAUUUAAUAUAAAUUCGUCUGAAUUAAAUUCGACGUAUGAAACAGGCCUCAGUGACGUCACGAAGCCAUUAACAUUGAAACCAUUGACUCCAUCAAAUUCGUGAUGGAAAAACUGGGGCCGAUUGUAUAAAAACGUAAUUAGCGCUAACUGUAGUUAGCGUUAAUCACUGUAGUUAAAUCCUUAACUGUAAUUAGUUAACUACAUGACUUAACUGCGUUGCACAAAACGUAGUUAGUCGGAUAGUUAACUAAUCACGUAGUUAACUGUGCGUGGGGCGUUUAAACACAAAAUUACAUAAAGUAAGCAGCGAGUAACGACCGCUGACACACAUUUUCAACAUGAUUGUGGACUCGUAUUUUGCAAAUAGGCGGGAAUUUUAAUAAUUUUAUUCAGAACACUAGAAAACAGUGAAAAAUAAACAAGAAAACAAGGAAAAACCGCCACAAAAAUCAUAAAAGAAUGCAGUUUUCCUUGAGAUGUCUACGUUAAACCAAAGUAUAGCUGUUUGGCAAUUAUAUAUCAGUGUUUCUUGGUGUAAUGGACCAUACUUCGUCUUCGAGAAAUCGUCCUGUGCAAAAAUAUGUUCUGUUUUCGUAAAAACACCAAAGCGAUAGCGUUUGAAGAGUUUAUAUUGUCAGGAAACAUUCACAUAGAAGAUAGCGACUGAAAAUCUCAGGUAACCGUUGCUUUUCAUUGUUGUUUUACUGAAAAAUGUUGUUCACUUCUAUACAAACGCCAUUUUUAACUACGUUUUGGACAGUUAACUAUACCCUAAAGUAUAGUUAACUUUAACUACUUUUUAACUGCAGUUAUGGCUAACUACACUUUUAUACAACCGGCUUAACUACGUGAUUAAAGUUAACUAUUUUUUACGGCUUUUUAACUACUUUUUAACUGCAGUUAGCGCUAACUACGUUUUUGUACAACCGGCCCCUGAAUGGUAAUUAAUCAAUGUGCACCAAUAUUUUCCAUUUUUACCAACUUUUUUGAACUUUUUUGGGAGGGGGGGUGUUACACCCACAUCAUCCCCCAGCGACGUCCCUGUCGAAAAUGCAGGAAUGUGUGAAAA